rnacentral:rRNA from 1 species
GACGAACGCUGGCGGCGUGCCUAAUACAUGCAAGUAGAACGCACAGUUUAUACCGUAGCUUGCUACACCAUAGACUGUGAGUUGCGAACGGGUGAGUAACGCGUAGGUAACCUGCCUGGUAGCGGGGGAUAACUAUUGGAAACGAUAGCUAAUACCGCAUAACAUUAAUUAUUGCAUGAUAAUUAAUUGAAAGGUGCAAUUGCACCACUACCAGAUGGACCUGCGUUGUAUUAGCUAGUAGGUGAGGUAACGGCUCACCUAGGCGACGAUACAUAGCCGACCUGAGAGGGUGAUCGGCCACACUGGGACUGAGACACGGCCCAGACUCCUACGGGAGGCAGCAGUAGGGAAUCUUCGGCAAUGGACGAAAGUCUGACCGAGCAACGCCGCGUGAGGGAAGAAGGGUUUCGGAUCGUAAAGCUCUGUUGUAAGAGAAGAACGGGUGUGAGAGUGGAAAGUUCACACUGUGACGGUAUCUUACCAGAAAGGGACGGCUAACUACGUG